UCUUGUCACUGCCACUGUGAACAACUCUGACUCUGAACAUCCUCUCUUUGGGCCUCAUCCAGUAUGGUGGCAGUCCAUAUCAUUCUCAACACUCAACUGUGCUCUUACCCAAGUGGCCUCAUCCUGAUGCUUCUUUCAUUACACUGAACAUCAUUGUCUGAACAUCAGCUAUGCGUGUGAGCUGGGUGCCACACUGGAGUUCAUGCAUAGCGAGCUUGGCACGCCCUCACACAACGCAACGCAUCUACCGGAGCCCGUGUAUUGGCGGAACCGCUCUGGUGCUUGAUCAGUC